AACUGCUGUGGUAUGUGAAUUGGUUGUGCCAGACUGAGCCAAUGGUGCAUCCCGUGUGUAUCUAUGUGUUAGUUGAAUGAAGGGGCAAGAAUUAAGUCCUUGAAAUGUAAUCUUGCUUGGGCAGUUUCUAAAGCAAAAUGUAGCGUAUCUGGCCAAGCCUUCUUGGAGACAAUUCACUGCAGUUCUUUGUGCAACACUACUGGCAAGAAGCUAUCAGGCUUGUGGAUUAGUGCUGUCCAUAUUAAUCGCAAGGGUCUCCUUACAUGAUAGUGAAGAUGUGGAACUUUCCUCUGUGUUCACUGUAGUAGAUGAUGAUUUGUUCUGCUUGUUUCUGUUUUUUCACAAGUGACAGAUAGAUCCUGAGUAGAAUUGAAGAAUUUAGAAUUUGUUACUUUUUAGCCAGAUAUUUAACAUAUUGGAAUUUCAGAAUAGGAAAGUAUGGGUUGUUGACAAGUCAAGCUUAUAAUUAUAAAAUUACAGUGAAGCACCAGUCAGUCUUUUCAGCUGGGUCUCUUUCCUGCUUAUCAUCUUUUUCUGGUACCUCAAGAAAGCAGUGUUUGGUGGGGAGUGGAAAUCUACAAGGUCCAACUCCUACGUGCUUGCAUUGGUCCCACAAUGUAAUUAUCUUUCUUUUCUUUUUAUUUCUCCUUCUCUGAAGCACUUGCUCACUAUUGAAUAAUUUCCAUCUUUUCUAACUGUAUGUACCAUUACUGCAUUGUUAGCAUCCUUGCCCUUCUGAGACUCUCCACCCUUCUGUCAUGUCAUGUGGAUAAAUGACUCAUUCUAUUUGUGAUCUGCUGAGCUGAUUGACAGCUAGUCAAGGUAGAGUUUUGCGCUCCGUGGCUGUUACUAAUGCUGCUAAAAGUUUUUUAAUAUAUUUUUUCUCUGUCUAAAUCCUUAACAGGUUGAGUCACUGUUUUCAUUCCCAUUCCCUGAAUGAGUGUGCAAGCGUGAGUCACUGUUUUUGAUAAAGGGGUUAUAAUCUCUGUGUCUUUCUAGUUUUGUUUGACCAGUUGGUUCUUUCAGAAUUUGUUAAUUUAGGGUCUCAUCUAAACUCCUAGAAAUGGGAAUCUUUCCACUGACUGCCAUGGACUUUGGAUCAGGCCCAUUGUUUCCUGAAGCUGCCAGAAUACAGGUUAUUGGUAAAACAGUUGGAGAGACAUAUUAGUAUAUAUCUACCAUUCAGGAAUUCUAUUAUUGAGCUAUUUCUUCUCAUUGUUUACGGAGGCAAUAGUAAAAUGCAAACAUAUCGAAGAGUACCAAAAAUAACAGAAAAAAGAAACUUUUGAAAAAACUUUAAAGACAGACAUGCUGGUAGGAAUAUUGUACAGAACUGCAGUGACAUCUGUGAAUCAACCUCCUAAGGGAUCAGCAAAACUAGGUUGCCAAGCAGAGGCGGGUCUUUAAUUAAAACAUGGACACUUCACUGGAAAUCACAUGAGGAUCUUAAACUCUGACUUUUGGGUCCAGCUGAGCUGCACUGGGUAUAGGACCUGAGAAGGAAGAGCCAGCAUGUCUCUCCCAACCCCUGGGGCUGCUAGUGCCAGUUAGAGCCUCAAGGUUGUUCUAACUUGCACUGGUAGUAACAGCCCAUAAGGACUGUUAUAUUAGCCUGGGGUUAUUGGAACCCAGGGCACACCAGCCAGCCCUCCUCAC
ensembl:lncRNA